rnacentral:rRNA from 1 species
UACAGAGGUGGCAAGCGUUGUUCGGAAUUACUGGGCGUAAAGGGCGCGUAGGUGGCCUUCUUAGUCAGACGUGAAAUCCCCAGGCUUAACCUGGGAACUGCGUCUGAUACUGGAAGGCUCGAGUUCGGGAGAGGAAUGUGGAAUUCCAGGUGUAGCGGUGAAAUGCGUAGAUAUCAGGAGGAACACCGGUGGCGAAGGCGGCUUUCUGGACAGAUACCGACGCUGAGGCACGAAAGCUAGGGGAGCAAACAGG